CGCGUAGGCGGCGAGGCAAGUCAGAUGUGAAAGCCCCGGGCUCAACCCGGGAAUUGCAUCUGAAACUGCUUUGCUUGAGUUCUGGAGGGGGUAGUGGAAUUCCCAGUGUAGCGGUGAAAUGCGUAGAUAUUGGGAGGAACACCUGCGGCGAAGGCGGCUACCUGGACAGAAACUGACGCUGAGGCGCGAAAGCUAGGGGAGCGAACGGGAUUAGAUACCCCGGUAGUCCUAGCCGUAAACGAUGGGCACUUGGUGUUGGGGGUAUUGAGUCCCUCGGUGCCGGAGUUAACACGUUAAGUGCCCCGCCUGGGGAGUACGGUCGCAAGACUGAA
rnacentral:rRNA from 1 species